CCUACGGGGGGCUGCAGUGGGGAAUAUUGGACAAUGGGGGGAACCCUGAUCCAGCCAUGCCGCGUGUGUGAAGAAGGCCCUCGGGUUGUAAAGCACUUUCAGUGAGGAAGAACGCCUGGUGGUUAAUACCCAUCAGGAAAGACAUCACUCACAGAAGAAGCAACGGCUAACUCCGUGCCAGCAGCCGCGGUAAUACGGAGGGUGCGAGCGUUAAUCGGAAUUACUGGGCGUAAAGCGCGCGUAGGUGGCUUGAUAAGCCGGUUGUGAAAGCCCCGGGCUCAACCUGGGAACGGCAUCCGGAACUGUCAAGCUAGAGUGCAGGAGAGGAAGGUAGAAUUCCCGGUGUAGCGGUGAAAUGCGUAGAGAUCGGGAGGAAUACCAGUGGCGAAGGCGGCCUUCUGGACUGACACUGACACUGAGGUGCGAAAGCGUGGGUAGCAAACAGGAUUAGAUACCCCUGUAGUC
rnacentral:rRNA from 1 species